rnacentral:rRNA from 1 species
UACAGAGGUCUCAAGCGUUGUUCGGAUUCAUUGGGCGUAAAGGGUGUGUAGGUGGCGCCGUAAGUCGGGUGUGAAAUUUCGGAGCUUAACUCCGAAACUGCAUUCGAUACUGCGGUGCUUGAGGACUGGAGAGGAGACUGGAAUUCACGGUGUAGCAGUGAAAUGCGUAGAGAUCAUGAGGAAGACCAGUGGCGAAGGCGGGUCUCUGGACAGUUCCUGACGCUGAGGCACGAAGGUCAGGGGAGCAAACGGG